rnacentral:rRNA from 1 species
GAUGAACGCUGGCGGCGUGCCUAAUACAUGCAAGUCGAGCGAACGGACGAGAAGCUUGCUUCUCUGAUGUUAGCGGCGGACGGGUGAGUAACACGUGGAUAACCUACCUAUAAGACUGGGAUAACUUCGGGAAACCGGAGCUAAUACCGGAUAAUAUUUUGAACCGCAUGGUUCAAAAGUGAAAGACGGUCUUGCUGUCACUUAUAGAUGGAUCCGCGCUGCAUUAGCUAGUUGGUAAGGUAACGGCUUACCAAGGCAACGAUGCAUAGCCGACCUGAGAGGGGGAUCGGCCAACCUGGAACUGAGACACGGUCCAGACUCCUACGGGAGGCAGCAGUAGGGAAUUUUCCAAAAUGGGCGAAAGCCUGACGGAGCAACGCCGCGUGAGUGAUGAAGGUCUUCGGAUCGUAAAACUCUGUUUUUAGGGAAAAACAUAUGUGUAAGUAACUGUGCACAUCUUGACGGUACCUAAGCAAAAAGCCACGGCUAACUACGU